GACGAACGCUGGCGGCGUGCUUAACACAUGCAAGUCGAACGAAGAGCGAUGGAUUCUUGCUUCUAUCAAUCUUAGUGGCGAACGGGUUAGUAACGCGUAAUCAACCUGCCCUUCAGAGGGGGACAACAGUUGGAAACGACUGCUAAUACCGCAUACGAUCUAACCUCGGCAUCGAGGAAAGCUCAAAGUUGGCCUCUAUGUAUAAUCUAUCACUUUAGGUGGGGAUUGCGUCUGAUUAGCUAGUUGGAGGGGUAACGUCCCACCAAGGCGAUAGACAGUAACCGGGCAGGAGGGAAGGACGGCGAAAUUGGGACUGAGACACGGGCCAGGAUUCUAAGGGAAGCAGCAGUGGGGGAACUUCCGAAAGGGACGGAAGUCAGGAGGAACAACGCCGGGUGAGUGAUGGAAGGCUUCGGGUUGGAAAGCACUGUUAAUCGGGACGAAAGGCCUUCUUGCGAAUAGUGAGAAGGAUUGACGGUACCGGAAGAGAAAGCAACGGCUAACUACGUG
rnacentral:rRNA from 1 species